GACGAACGCUGGCGGUGUGCUUAACAUAUGCAAGUCGAACGGAAAGGCCCUGCUUUUGUGGGGUGCUCGAGUGGCGAACGGGUGAGUAACACGUGAGUAACCUGCCCUUGACUUUGGGAUAACUUCAGGAAACUGGGGCUAAUACCGGAUAGGAGCUCCUGCUGCAUGGUGGGGGUUGGAAAGUUUCGGCGGUUGGGGAUGGACUCGCGGCUUAUCAGCUUGUUGGUGGGGUAGUGGCUUACCAAGGCUUUGACGGGUAGCCGGCCUGAGAGGGUGACCGGCCACAUUGGGACUGAGAUACGGCCCAGACUCCUACGGGAGGCAGCAGUGGGGAAUAUUGCACAAUGGGCGGAAGCCUGAUGCAGCAACGCCGCGUGCGGGAUGACGGCCUUCGGGUUGUAAACCGCUUUCGCCUGUGACGAAGCGUGAGUGACGGGAAUGGGUAAAGAAGCACCGGCUAACUACGU
rnacentral:rRNA from 1 species